rnacentral:rRNA from 1 species
UACGUAGGGUGCAAGCGUUAAUCGGAAUUACUGGGCGUAAAGCGUGCGCAGGCGGUUUUGUAAGUCUGUCGUGAAAUCCCCGGGCUCAACCUGGGAAUUGCGAUGGAGACUGCAAGGCUAGAAUCUGGCAGAGGGGGUAGAAUUCCGACGUGUGAGCAGUGAAAUGCGUAGAGAUGUGGAGGAACACCGAUGGCGAAGGCAGCCCCCUGGGUCAAGAUUGACGCUCCAUGCACGAAAGCGUGGGGAGCAAACGAGGA